rnacentral:rRNA from 1 species
GCUUGCUCUUAUGGGUGGCGAGUGGCGGACGGGUGAGGAAUACAUCGGAAUCUACCUUUUCGUGGGGGAUAACGUAGGGAAACUUACGCUAAUACCGCAUACGACCUUCGGGUGAAAGCAGGGGACCUUCGGGCCUUGCGCGGAUAGAUGAGCCGAUGUCGGAUUAGCUAGUUGGCGGGGUAAAGGCCCACCAAGGCGACGAUCCGUAGCUGGUCCGAGAGGAUGAUCAGCCACACUGGAACUGAGACACGGUCCAGACUCCUACGGGAGGCAGCAGUGGGGGAUAUUGGACAAUGGGCGCAAGCCUGAUCCAGCCAUACCGCGUGGGUGAAGAAGGCCUUCGGGUUGUAAAGCCCUUUUGUUGGGAAAGAAAAGCAGUCGAUUAAUACUCGGUUGUUCUGACGGUACCCAAAGAAUAAGCACCGGCUU